GGGGUUGUGGCUCAGUGGUAGAGCAUUCGCCUCACAUGUGCGAGGCUCUGGGGUUCGAUCCUCAGCACCA
rnacentral:tRNA from 1 species